rnacentral:lncRNA from 10 species
AAGAACAGAACUGUUCCUGGAGGCUGAGAUCACACUUUUGUUUGUAGGUGAAGCAGGAUUAAUGCAUCACCCUGCUGAAUGAUGAGCAGACACACCCUUGAAUUUAGUUAAAUAUGCACCCUUCCUGCCUUUACUCAAGAAGUUCAGUGUUUCCAAAGCUAUGAUUUAAGGGUAAACAUUCUUCCUCUCUGCAUCUUAGGGCUUCUGAUAUUCUGGAGAAACCAGUGUUAUCUGAGUGUCAAAGCUCAGUUAUUAACCCUUUCUCAGAGUUUCUGGAUAAUGUUAUUAGCUUUCAAGCACGUGAUGCUUCUCAAGAGAGCUGUUGACUUCCAGUCUGACCAAAUUCUUUCACGUCGUGGCGUGUACGAUGUAUAAAAGUUUUGGAAUGUCUCUGAGAUGACUUCUUCAGACACACAACCUUGCUGUAUUGCUCAAACUAGAUUUGCACUCCUGGAAUCCAGUAGAUCCUUCUACAUCCAGAAUUGGUGGGUUCUUGGUCUGACUUAAAGAAUGAAGCCACAGACCCUCACACCAAAAUCUCAUCCACUCCUCUGCGUCCGUCCACAUGUCCUGGGAAGCCUUCCCUGAUCACCUCAGAGCAGCUUCCGAAUGGCUCCAGAGCAAUAAAGGUUGUAAGACCCCCAGUCCGAAGGGGUCCUGUCCCAUACUCGGGAAGAAGGAACGCUGCAUAGACAGGCCAGGAAGAAUCUCGGCCUUACCGGGUUUCCCCACUCAAUCUAUAAGCAUUAGAUCAUACUCUUUUUGUCCAAUCACAGUUCUCCUUGGUUGUCAAUCAUACCUAUCCAAUAAAAUCUCCAUAAAAGGCCCAAGAGGAUAAGGUAUGGGAAACUUUUGCACAGCUGAAGUUCUGGAGGCUUGCAAGAAAAUGAACAAGAAUUCAUCCGCCUGCCGGGAGGGUGGCGCAUCCCUCUCCACGGGAACUGAGGCUCCUGCAGUCAGGACCCUUUCAGACCUCACCCUAUGUAUCUCUUCAUCUGGCUAUUUAUUUGUAUCUUUUAAAAUAGCCUUUAAAAUAAAUCAGUAAACCUAAGUGUUUCCCUGAGUUUUGUGAGCCACUUUUAGCAAAUUAAUCGCGCAUAAAGUGGUGGUCACCCAACUU